rnacentral:rRNA from 1 species
GUGAACGCUGGCGGCGUGCUUAACACAUGCAAGUCGAACGGACUUAAUGAGCUUGCUUAUUAAGUUAGUGGCGCACGGGUGAGUAAUAUAUAGCUAACCUGCCCUUUAGUGGGGGACAACAGUUGGAAACGACUGCUAAUACCCCAUACUCCUUCUUGUCUUAAGAUAAGUUGGGAAAGAUUUAUCGCUAAAGGAUGGGGCUUUAUUGUAUCAGCUAGUUGGUGGGGUAAUGGCCUACCAAGGCAAUGACGCAUACCUGGUCUGAGAGGAUGAUCCGCCACACUGGUACUGAGACACGGACCAGACUCCUACGGGAGGCAGCAGUGAGGAAUAUUGCACAAUGGGGGGAACCCUGAUGCAGCAACGCCGCGUGGAGGAUGACGCAUUUCGGUGUGUAAACUCCUUUUAUAUGUCAAGAAAAUGACGGUAGCAUAUGAAUAAGCACCGGCUAACUCCGU